UUGGCUCUGGCUGCCUGGGUCCUGCUGGUGAGGUCUCUCUUCACCUUGUUCCAUAGCUCCUGCUUGAGGAGCCAGCCUAGCUCACUGCUGCCGUCUGGGGACAAAGAAUGCUCUCACUGUGCCCUUUCCUCAGAUGAGGGGUCUGGCCCAGCAGAGACAUAGCAAUCUGAACAGAAGAAAUCCAGAUCCUGUUCAUUUUACUACCUGUGCCCCGGGGUUCAAAGAUUGGUUAUAAUUUUGGUCUUCAUUUCCCAGACAUUUUUGCUUUUCCUCUCAGCGUAAAAAGGCAGCAUGGACUUUCUAAAUGAUGUGAGGCAAAGAGCAGGAGAAGGAGGAGGGGGUACUCUGAAGAGAAAACUACCUAAGUCUCUAAUAUGUCUCUUCUGAGCUUCUUAGAGCAAAGAGAGCAGAGCUCCCAGACAGGGAAAAAAUCUUAAGAGGCUCUUGAUAGGAAAUGUGCUGGCACUUGUCAUCUACCCAAUGGCUCCUAAUCCUCUUUUCAUGAACUGAAAUCCCCUUGAAUUGGAUUAUAAAAUUCCUCUUGGUAGAAGGCACUUCACUUAAAAAAGCAAAGCCCUUGAUUGAGAAAGAAAACAAACAUUAAUUUGAAAUUUUUUUGCCUUCGGGAAGAAGAUGUGGGCAGACACGUUGAAGGAGCCUGGCUCCUGCCUUUUGACCUCUGCGUUCCCGGAUAUGUGGGAUAAUGGCUUGUAACUGGCUGACGUCUCUGACCUGGAAUCAGACUGACAGAUGUGAGAUGGCAAGUCCAGGGAGAAGAAUGGAGAUGCUGGCAGUUUUAAGCAUGGCUACAGACUCACACAGUUCCUGUGAUUUUCUUGCCCCCAUAGUCAACACAGGAAGAGGAACAAAGGAGUCACCUUUUCCUCUUUCCUGGAUUUCAGGGGAAGCAGACACUGGAGUGGAAACAAAGCCUGAGGACUCUCAUCUAAGCUUCCGGCCCCUCAUUUUAUAAUACGGAGUUUAAUACCUGCUCACUUCCUACUGCUAUUUGCCUGGAAAGACCAUGGUCACUGCCCAGUGUGAUUCAGAUGGAGUCAUAUGGAGGAAGAACCAGCAUAACCAUGACCCAUGUUGUAUUAAUGUAACCAUGAGAAAAUCAUUUGGAGCUUUCUGUCAUUGAUACAUAUGUUAGGGUAGAACUUUCAUUCUCCUCCUUUGUAUCAGGGCCAAGUAAAGGCAUAUGUCUUCUAUUUAUUUCCUUGAAAUGAUUCUUAGAUGAUCAUAUUCCUUAGUAUAAUCCCAGCUUGGUUCUAUAUUCUUACAACCAGGCAUUUUUCUUUUCUUUUUGGAGGGAGGUGACUUGGAAUCAUAGAGAAAUAUUAAUCAUUUGGUGUGGUUUUCUUGAUUAAAGGAAUUGUA